CCUACGGGAGGCAGCAGUGAGGAAUAUUGGUCAAUGGCCGGAAGGCUGAACCAGCCAUGCCGCGUGAAGGUCAGUGCCCUAUGGGCGUUAAACUUCUUUUGUGCGGGAGCAAUAAUGGUCACGUGUGGCCAGACGAGAGUACCGUACGAAUAAGCAUCGGCUAACUCCGUGCCAGCAGCAGCGGUAAUACGGGGGAUGCAAGCGUUAUCUGGAUUUAUUGGGUUUAAAGGGUGCGUAGGCUGUGAGGUAAGUCAGCGGUGAAAUGCCCCCGCUCAACGGGGUGAAGUGCCAUUGAUACUGGCUUGCUGGAAUGUGGAUGCGGUGGGAGGAAUGUGUGGUGUAGCGGUGAAAUGCAUAGAUAUCACACAGAACACCGAUUGCGAAGGCAUCUCACGAAUCCGCGAUUGACGCUGAUGUACGAAAGCGUGGGUAGCAAACAGGAUUAGAUACCCGGGUAGUC
rnacentral:rRNA from 1 species